AAAUUAGAAGCUAUGAAAAGAUAGAUAGAGAUACUUUGCUAGAGAAAGACAAACGAAACUUCUUCUUUUUAAAUAAUAUUUUACACAUAUCAGCCUCACUUACUCGGCUCGCGAGGGUAGGAGUCCAGUCUUGGCCUCGUAAAAGUGCCGAUCUUUCAUUUCACCUAAGUGCCUCUCCCAAAUGCCAUUUCUUCUCCGGGACACUCAUUACGCGGCCGCUGGGAAGUGAGUCAGGCGGCUGGGUCCCACUCAAACUCAGCCCUCCAAUGUUCGUCCCUAUUGAUCGAGAAGAAAAGACCUCUCUUCACUCACUCGGCCCACUGGGUCGGAAUCCAAUCGUGGAAUCCCAGUUAUACCUAUAAUUCAUUUUACGCACCGCCUCUCCAAAUGUCAUUUCUUCUUCUACGGAUCCCGCAUUCCGCCACUGGAAAGUGACCCGCGCGGUGGGGUCCCACUCAAACUCGGCCCACCAGCGUUUGGGCCCAUUGACCGAGAAGCUUUCCCUUGCGUUGCUCGAGUCCCAUGGCAACUUUUUGAGACUGGGGCAAUCAUGUAUCUCGAUGUGUGCCCCUGGAGCGAAAAAUAGUUUGCGGUCACAAAUACUACUUAGUUUUAGAAGCUUGGAGAUACCUAGGAAUUUGAGAUGUGAGAAUAGUCUCAAAGUAGCUAAUUCUUCUCCUGCAAUUUCAUCCUCAAUUAUUUUCUCGAAUAGCAGCUCCAAACCGUCAAUUGAUGGAGUUUCGGUGCAUGCACGAGCCAAGACAAGUCUGAAAAUCCGCACUUUGCAAUUACAACUUCAACGAGACUAGGGAAGCAAGAGUAGUUGGGCACCUGUCCCGUGCCUUGAGUAAUCUCUAUCUUCACGAGUAUACGGCAAUAUUCUAGAUGAAGCACCUCUAAAUGCAAGAAAUUGACUCUCCCUUUUAAUGAGUGACUUAUUGGGAUGCACGUCAAGUCCUCACAACCGAUGAUCUUCACUCUUCUUAUGCAUCUUUGUGAGGAUUGGAAUAUUUUUAGUGCAGAUGAAGAUUUGUACACUACGAUAGAUAAGUCGAUCAGCUCUUGCAUGCCCCCAAGUUCCUCUACCACCUCUUCUUCCUUCUCUAGACCCGAUCCCCACGUGCUGAACACAUUCAACGGUAAGCUUCCGAUUACCCCCGUUGGAAUCAAGAAAGUUUUCCUUAUAUCAUCUAGUAGUAACCACCGUAAGCGAGUCAAGUUCUUGAUUUCCUUGGGCAACUCAUUGAUACGAGUCUUCGACACGUUCAAGUACCGUAAAUUAAUUAGAUCACAAAUCUCUUCAGGGAAUAAUUCUAUUUUUUGAUUGCCGAAUAGGUCCAGCACCUUCAAACAAGCCAUCAUUGACUCAAAAAAUCCUCUUGGCAUGAACCCCACAUUAGUUUGCCUUACAAACAAAGUUUCAAGUUGGGAACACAUAGGUGGUGUUUGGUUGAUAUUUCCAAUCAAUCCUCCCCAUACAUAUACUUUUUCCGCUUCCCCCCAUUUAGACAUCAUCUCCAUGGACAUGUUUUCUUCAUUCUCUAUCACUAACAACUUGUUCUCCUUUUGCCCGUGGUCAUGAGCGAUCCAAGUUGCCAUGUCGCGGAUGAUGUCAUGCAUCUUUACAGUAGGUUGUUCAAAUGAAUCAAACCCACUUUCCAAUAGACAAGCCUUCUUUAAAUCCCCCAAGAUAGAUGCUCCCUGGUCCCGCAUACGGUAUAUAUUAUUAGUGUUUCCUAACAAGCCCUCUCCAAUCCAGAGUUCAAUAAGCUCAUUCGCUAUUAUGGGGUAAUCCUCAGGGAAGCGACAUCAGUAAAGGAAGCAAGCUUGCUGAGUAGCAUCAUCUAAACUAUCAUAGCUAAAUUUCAAUAUGUGGAAUACUUUCUCCACCAUACCUACUAGCUCGUGCGGUUUGUGCCUCAACGUUGUUAGUGCAUGCCUCCACUCACGAGGAUCGUCUUUACCGGCCAUGGCUCGCCCGACAGUAAUGAGGGCUAGUGGCAACCCGUCGCACUCUACAGCAAUGUCCUUGGCGAGGUCUUGAAUUUCUUGAGGACAUUUUCAAGCACUUUGCCGACGUUCUUCUUGAAUAAUGCCAAAGCUUCUUCGGGCAUCAAACACUGUACUUCGCAUGUUUCGUCGGCUUCCAUUUGGUCGCAUACUUGCUUCAACCGAGUUGUGAAUACUACUUUGGAUCCAUUCUUGAGACUAGCACGAGGAACUCCAAUUUUGGAAAGGUCCAGCCUUUCCCAUACAUCAUCAAUCAGCAACACAAAUUUCUUAUGGGUCAAAACUUCCAACAAAGAGUGGACCCUCUUAUCCUGAAUGUUCAGCCUUUCCCCUAUCACGUCUCGAAUGUUAUCUUCAUUCAUUUGCUUAGACACCACCACCCAUAUAACGACCUCAAAUUCAUGAUUUGCACUCAAAAGCUCAUUGUUGAUCAUUUUCAUGAGGGUAGUCUUUUCCACACCAACAGUUCCAUAUAAUCCAAUCACUCCUCUUUUUUUUUCCUUGUCCAUGAGCCAUUUCCGGACUUUAUUAAAGGACAUAUCUAGCCCCAUGGUCUCGUCCAUAGGCAUCAGAAGUACUGGAGGAGGAGGCAACGGUGACGUGAAAUUGCCCAAUUCUCCAUUCUUACGGUGGAGCUUUCCCGCUUCAUUGAGCAAUCGAUCAACUCUUUUUCCCAAUUUAUAGCUCGACCAGCAGUUCCGUGGAAGACAACGAAUGAGACAUUUGAUUUGGUCAGGUUCCCCGGCUUCUUGACAAACUUGAUCUACUCCACGUUUAAAUUGUUGCACUUCGUCUAACCAGUUCUGCACUUGAUUCGUACGCCGCACGCGUGGUUCUGCUUCUUCGCGUCCCACCGUUGCCAUCACAUCCCUGUUCAGGGCCUCCAAGGCUGUAGUUUCUUUGUUCAACGCCUCCACAUUAUCUUUCAGAUUACAAAUGUAGCCCAAAGGUUUGCUGGCCAAGCCCCAUAGGCUUUUGACGAGUUCUGAAAGAGGACUCGCGAAAUCCAUAGAUUCUUUCGGGAGAUGAGAGAUCGAAAGGAGUAAUCCAGAUGGACUGAGAGCAGGCGAAUGGGUGGAGUUCGACAAUAGAGGGUCAUCUAGUAAGGGACGAAUUUUACAAAUUCAAUAAUAGAGGCGUCAAGUAAUGGCCCCACAACAGGAGAAUAAUACAAGCUGGCAAAGGUAAGUAAAAGUAAAAAGUAGGAAUGUGCAAAAGAACCAGAUCCACCCGGACCGCCCGGAACCGGACUGGAACCGCUCAGAACCGGCGGUUCUUGAGGGAAUUGGUCCAAUUCCCGGUUCCAAUUUAUGGGAACCGGUGGGUACCGAUCCGGUUCCUAAUUCCAUGGGCGGAUCUACCCACCUGCCCACCCGGACUGGACCGGUUCCCUUUUAAUAUUAAAAAAAAAAAAUUACUAAAACAAACCUAGAUCUCAUGGAUGAAUACAAAGCUGAAUAUUAGGAAAUUCUUAUGCUUUUUGGUUGUUUAGUUUAUUUAUUGAUACAAUGAAGGUGAUGUAUUCAAUAAAGUCUUGUUUAGUUGCACUUUCUUUGUUUUCCUGUGUUUGGAUGGUGCCUCAUUUCACCUCCUUUGAUUUGUCUAUGCGACUUGUGAUAUUUUGCUGAACCUGAUGAGGGAUAUGUCUAGUUCAUAGCGUUAAGAGAGAUCCAUUUUUCCUAAACACUUACUACUCUCUCCACCUCUAUAUCAACUUACAUACAUCCAUUCCUUCAUUGGUUGCAUAUCUUGUUAUUCAAGAGUCGGAGUCGGAGUUGGAGGAAGACUCGGUCACUCAUCCAUUCUUUGAACGUGUAUGAUGAACAUUCCUUUGUCACUCAUUAGAACCUAAUGGACGUUCUAGGAGGGAGAAAGACUGGUGUCUCUAGACAAAACAAACAAGGAAGCAAGACAAUUGGGAACCUUUACCUUUGGUCAAAGAAAAUUUAGCCAUCUGCGGUUACUUGCAAGCAAGAAAUGGGAGAUGUUGCAUUCCGUCUGUUCGGGUUUUAUUUUUAUUUUAUCUACAAGAUACAUUUUAUAGUUGCACAAUGAAUCUUUGGUUCCACGUACUUAAAUUUGGUUUUCUUAUUGGCUUGCUUUGAUGUCACGNNNNNNNNNNNNNNNNNNNNNNNNNNNNNNNNNNNNNNNNNNNNNNNNNNNNNNNNNNNNNNNNNNNNNNNNNNNNNNNNNNNNNNNNNNNNNNNNNNNNUGAGUAAUGGCCCUACCCCUAUCGGGAAAAGAAAAUUACAAUAUUACCCUAAUAUAAUUUUUUUAAUAUAUUACUACAUAUUAUUAGAAUUUUUUAUCACCCCUGAUCUUAAAUUUGCUACUCCAAUCACCCAUGGUCCCUAAAUAAUACCGACUUUCGAGUACAAUAGAAAUUGCCAAAGAGAAUAGUAUAGGAUGCGAUGACACUAACCAUGGCAUUUUCCUUUGCGUGAUUGAUUUUGAAAUGACCAUAUAAAAAAUAUAUCAGUUUAUCAUUCCAAAUAUUUUCUUUUUAUUAAUAUUGAGUUUACUAGUUAACUGGACAGUGAGGUUUUCACUUUCCAACAACGAAUUGAUUAGAAAAGUUAAAGCUAAGAAACCAAAGGUGAAGACGGGCCUUGCUUUGAUGGACAGCAUAUUCAUACCCCGUUUCCCAUAUUAAUUUUUUUUUAGUUACUUUUUCAGCAAAGAAGAGGAAUCUUAAACAACUUUUGUUCCCCGUUACAAAAAUUAAGAUGUGAUCGGAUAAGAUAAAACAAGAAGUCUCAUCAUUUAUUUGAUGAAACUAUCUAUUACCCUAGGACCAUGUUAAUAAUGUUGCAUAGUUCAAUGUUAAUUCCUCAAUCAUGGGCAAUCAAUAGAUCAACCCACCCUAGAUGUCGUCCUCUCAUGCACAAUCUAUUGCAUCCAUCUCCUCUUUCUCUUAUUUCAAGUUAUCUUACAAGUAUUUCUAACGAGAUCAACCCACCCUAGAUGCCAAUUAAUAUGAAUUCAAACUCCAUGAAAUUCAAGCAACCUCACUCCCCAGCUAAAGUAAAAAAGACACCUUUAAAUCUAGAUAGAAAGCCCAUCACGAUUCCUCCAACAUAGACAAAAUAGCCACUAAUUAGCUGGGUUAUUACCUUUUAAUUUGCCUUUGUCGAAAUUCUUUCAAUUAAAAGAUUAAGAUAUCUGCUACUAAUAUUGAUCCAGACGUGCCAAAAGAUCACAUUUUUCCCUAAAAGAUUGAUAUUUUACACUUAUCAGCCUGACUCACUCGGGUCGCGAGGAAUGAAUCUGAUCCACGCCCAGCAAAGAUUGAUAUUUAUAUAUGUAUUCCGAUCAAAGCUCGAAUCCUUGUUGCUUCGUGAAAUUAAAAUGUUUGAAAUUUCAAUUUUAGGUCGAACAUAUGUCCUCUUCACAAAACUAAUCAUAUCUUAACGUCUAUUUUUUUUUUCUCUUUUUACUGGAGACCUGCGUAUGAAUGGUUGAUCAAGGAAGGUAAUUGAAGAAAAAAUUGAACUUUUUAAGGGAACGACCUACAUUACACUAAGCAAUAUAAAUAGGGAACGUUCCCUAUUUAUUUCUUAGAUUAAUCAUGAGAUGUUAGGGUGUAAAUAUCUCUUUCCAUGUUGAUAUUUUUCCCUGUAUAUAUUGCUUAGUGUAAUGUAUAGUUGUAUUAUGUGAAAGCAUUGUUAUUCUAUUGAAUGUUAGAUAUUAUCUGUUGCUUUCUGUUAUUGCUGAUUGCUGUGGGUAGUUAGCUGUGGAUAGUUAUAGAAGUUUUUGUAACUUCAUAGAAUUUAUUUUGCAUAAGACAAUUAUAUUCAUAAUAGUUUUAAGUUAUGAUUUUUUUUUUUGGAGGAUGAUUGGAAACAUAGUGACCUUUUGAUUCUGAAACCUUACUUGAAAUUAUUCAUUGAUAUAAUAGGUCUGUGCAAAGUGGAUGCAUAAAUGAUAGGCAUUAAUUAUUCGUGCAUAUAAGUCUGAUGUGUUCAGAUCGAUGGUUUCAGCAACUAAGAACGUAAUUGCUGAUAUAAAUGGCAACAAUUGUGGAAUAUUGAAUACGAAGAUUCAAUAUGUGCUGGAAAAGUUAGAAGCACUAAAAGCUCUUGACCAUAUUAUGGAAAAUCUAGAGUAUGUUGUGCGCCACAUUGAGCUAGUAAAGGACUGCCUAUCGGCAUUUGAGCCGAAAAUAGACAUUGGCUAUGUUGGUCCUAGCUCAGAAAGGGCUUUGAGCUCUAAGCGCAAACGUAUUGAUUCGUUCAAUAUGUGGGAAUGCAAAGGAUCAAGUCCUUAUUACAAAAGAUCAAAAGUUAACCAACACAAGAGAGGAAAACGUCAUCAAGUGAAGAAAAUGUCAGAGUGAGUGUUACAAUUGUAACAAGAAGGGUCACUAUGCUCGCGACUAUCGUGAGCCAAAGAAGGUACACACUCUUGUACAUUUGAGAACUUUGCUUUUGUGUCAAGUUCUGCAUUAUUGGCUGAAUUCAAUCCUUUGUGGACUGUAGAUUUAGGAAAAACAGACCAUGUAGCGAAGGAUAGAGAAUCCUUUGUGGAAUUCCGACGAUAUCGAUCGGAACUAAGUGGAUCUAUGUGGGAUAUAACUCCAGAAAUGAAGUUAAAGGGAUUAGCACCUGCCAAUUGAACAUGCGUGGUGGACGCAUCUUAUUCCUACAUGACCUUCCAUAUGCUCUAGAGAUUCGUCGAAAUUUAACGUCUGUUUUGGUGUUGGUUAAACUUGUUUAUAUAUAUAUAUAUAUAUAUAUAUAUAUAUGAACUUCCAUAAUAGAGGUGUAGAUUUGUAUUUAGAUACAAACUACUAUGGUUGUGGUCACUUUCUGGAUGGUUUCAUUGUACUAAAUGUUGACUGUGGUGAUGUCAAUAUUUGUUAUUCCCUUGUUUCACGUCUUCUACUUCAUAUGAUAAUGAUGUGAAUGUGUGGCAUGCUGGACUUAGUCAUAUUGGCCAACAACAUAUGAACAGACUUGCCAAAAAGGGCUUAUUGGGCAAUAUUGAAAAGGUCGCGUUUGUUCAUAUGUAAGCAUUGCCUAGAAAGGAAAACGACAAGGAAACCAUUUGGAAAAGGUAAAAGAGUUGACGUUCCUUUGCAUUUAAUCUAUUCUGACGUUUGUGGUUCAAUGAAUGUGAGAAGAAGGCAUGGGGCUGUUUAUUUCAUCACUUUUAUAGAUGAUUAUACUCGAUUCGGAUGUGUCUAUUUGAUUUCUCAUAAAUCUAAAGCAUAAGUUGUUUCAAAAGGUUUAUGAACUUUGAAGAAAAUCAAUUAGACAGGAAAAUAAAAGUAUUGAGAUCCGAUCGAGGUCGAGAAUAUUUAUCUGAUGAGUUCAGAAAAUAAUGUGAUUAAAAGGAAUAGAAAUACAAUUGUCUAUUCCAUAUACUCCUCAACAAAAUGGUGUUGCAGAGAGAAGAAACAGAACCCUACUGGAAAUGGUUAGGUCCAUGAUGGCGCAUGCUAACUUACCUAUCACUUUUUGGAGUGAUGCGUUGUUAACUUUUGCCUAUAUACUUAACCGGAUGUCUUCCAAAUCAGUUGCUUCCACUUCAUAUAAGUUGUGGACAGGUAGAAAACCGGACUUAAGUUUUCUUAAGCCAUGGGGUUGUGCUACCUAUACUAAUGAGUCCUCUCACAAAUUUGGGAAAUAUGGUCCCAAAUAAAAGAAGAGUAUUUUCAUGAGAUACUCCGAACACUCGAAAGGAUAUGUGUUCAUAGGUGAGCAAGAAAGUGGGAGUAUAACUGAAUUUGAAUCACGGGAUGUCACAUUCUUAGUGGAUGAAUAUCCUAAGAAGGGCGAAAUAGGAGAAGAUUACUUCAUAUUUGAAACCUUGGAUUAAGAUAAUGAUAUUAGUAUAGUUCAUCCAAGUGGGAGUAAUAUGAGAAAUGAUGAAUUAAAUUCAACUCAUUCUCAAUUGCAACCACAUGAUGAGACGACAUCAUCAUUAUCUUAUCCAAGUUGGAGCAUAAUGGGAAAUGAUGUGCAAAGUGUACAAUCUCUCAUGUAGCGAACAAGUCGCCAAAGUAUUCCCCAUCGACGUUUUUGACAUUAAAGGGGAAACUUUUAUGAUUGUUCCGCAAGAUGAGGAUGAGCCAAGAAAUAUUAAUGAGGCUCUAAAUUGCCCUAGUAAGGAAAAAUGGAUUUAUGCAAUGAAAGAGGAAAUUGAGUCAAUGAAAUCAAACCAAGUUUGGGAGACUGGUUGAUCUUCCAAAAGGACACAAAGCUAUUGGGAACAAGUGGGUUCUCAAAAUAAAGCGAAAGGCUGAUGGCUCGAUAGAAAGGCAUAAGGCUUACCUUGUGGCGAAGGGGUAUAAUCAACAGGAAUGAAUUGAUUAUGAAGAUACAUUUUCUCCUGUAGAGGGAUUUACCUCGAUUCGCAUUAUUCUGGCAAUAGUGGCUAGUAUGGAUCUUGAGUUACAUCAAAUGGAUGUAAAGACUGCUCCCCUCAAUGGAGAAUUAAAGGAAGGAACAUAUAUGGAACAACCUGCUGGUUUCAUAGUGAAAGGCCAAGAAGAAAAGGUAUGUCGACUUUUGAGGUCGAUAUAUGGCCUUAAGCAGUCGUCAAGACAAUGGUAUAUAUGAUUUCAUAAUGCCAUAAUGGCAUAUGAUUUUACAAUGAUAGAUGAGGAUCAUUGUAUAUAUAUAAAAAGAUCCAAAGGUCUAUUUGUGAUCAUAUCAUUAUAUGUUGAUGAUAUACUAAUUGCCGGAAGCAAUAUGGAGCUUGUCAAUACUGUCAAAAGUUGGUUGUCUUCCAAUUUUGAAUUGAAGGAUAUGGGAUUGUAAACCCAUAGACACUCCUAUUGCGAAAGGUGAAAGAUUGAGACAUAAACUGUGUCCAAGGACUCCAUAAGAGAAGGAACAAACGAAAUAUGUUCCUUAUGCUAGUGCUGUUGGGAGCAUGAUGUACGCUAUGAUGUGUACAAGACCUAACUUAUGUUUUGCAGUUGGAAUGGUGAGUAGAUACCAAUCCAAUCCAAGUCAAGCACGAUGGAAAGCCGUUAAAAGAAUACUGAGGUAUCUAAAGGGAACUGCUGAUUAUACGUUGAGUUAUUAAGGAAAGGAUCUGCAACUCAAAGGCUAUUCUGAUGCUGAUUGGGGAGGAGAUUUAAAUGAAAGGAAAUCUACCUCUAGGUUUGUUCUCUUACUGAAUAAUGGCACCAUAUGUUGGAACAGUAAGAAACAAAAGUGUAUAGCCUUGUCCACGAUGGAAACUGAGUUCAUGGCAUUAUCAGUAGCAAUAUAAGAAAAUGUUUAGCUUAAGAGAUUAUUGGAUCAUUUAGGUGUUAUUGGAAGUGUUGCAGAUUUGUUAUUGGUUAACUAUGAUAGCCAAGCAGCGAAAGCGUACACCAAAGAUCCAAAAUAUCAUGGCAAGACCAAACAUAUAUAUACCAAGUAUACUUUUGUCAGGAUAUGAUUGCACGGAAAGAGCUAAACUUANNNNNNNNNNNNNNNNNNNNNNNNNNNNNNNNNNNNNNNNNNNNNNNNNNNNNNNNNNNNNNNNNNNNNNNNNNNNNNNNNNNNNNNNNNNNNNNNNNNNNNNNNNNNNNNNNNNNNNNNNNNNNNNNNNNNNNNNNNNNNNNNNNNNNNNNNNNNNNNNNNNNNNNNNNNNNNNNNNNNNNNNNNNNNNNNNNNNNNNNNNNNNNNNNNNNNNNNNNNNNNNNNNNNNNNNNNNNNNNNNNNNNNNNNNNNNNNNNNNNNNNNNNNNNNNNNNNNNNNNNNNNNUUACUGUGUGAUAGAUAGAGAUGAGGCUAUUUUUAAGCUUAUUAUCUAUGUGAUAAUCGAGAGCUUAAGCUUAAAAUACGUAUGUCGCCUUAACUAAGUGUUAAGAUGAUGACAUAAUACUAACUAUGUCCGAAAGUAAAAUAACCCACAUAUUUUACUUUAUUUGUCUAUGAUGCCAGAUGUGAGUUCUGAUGAAUUUUAUGAUUGAGUAGAUACGUGAACUCAAGUUAGACAUUGGGUAUGUCUGAACUAUCAUCUGUACGGUAUUGAAAGUGUAGACAUACGCUCCAUGGGAAAGGAGUUAAUACCGUAAUACGUAUUUCAUACUACGUAUGCAUGAGAUGACCAAUAAGAGUGGCAAAAAGUUUGAUCUCAACUUUUUAUGACGUGUGAGACUCUUGAGGAAAAGAGUUCCUCAAUUUUUUUUUUGUCCCCUCAUGACUCUUAUUCUCAAGAUUUAUAUUUAGUGUUUGCUAUCUUAAGUUGUUGCCAAUGGUCAUGAGUUGAUUCAAUCUAAUUGGACAUUUCUAGAAAAGCAAGUUGAACUGAAAUUGAGAGUUUGAAUGAAAGAGGAAGAUCGAAUUUGGAGAAUCACAUUGUAGUUUUGUAUUCACCGGUUAACCAAUUAUGACUGUCUUUGUGAUAAUCAUAAUUGUGAAUACAAUAUAUAUAUAUAUAUAUAUAUAUAUAUAUAUCAUUGUUUAAAAGAGAUCAAGAGAGAUAUAAAUGUGAUCAAUCGAUCUAGGGUGCUGCAUACUAAAUUUACUAGGAGUGUGAUGCCCAUUAUGAGCUGCUAUAUAUUCCUAACAGAUGUAUAGCAACGAGCUCUCAAAGUAUGCUGCUCGCACGGAUUAUUCACCGGUAUGAAUGUUGAAGAGAGGUAAAGAGAAUCAUAUUCAUCCCACCAUGUGCGAGUGGGAGAUGAUGGUUUUAAUUGGUGAUGGGCUUAAGGCCCGUCCGCCCAUGCUGGGCCCAAAAGGCCCGGCCCACGGGAAUAAAGCCCGUGGAUGGGGGAAGGUAUAAAAGGGAGGAGAGAGAGAGAGAUGACACCUCUUGGAUAAUCAACGUACGUACGUUCUCUCCAACGCACUCUCUCCCUCCAAAAAGAACAGUAAGCACAAGGCCACUGUUUUCUCCCCUUCAAGGCGUCGUCGGAUCGAACAGGGCCAAAUUCUCUUCCUCUUAUUGGCGUUGGUGUCUAAUCUGUGGCUAACAAGGUACGCUCGAAUCCGUGGUGUGCUUUACGAUCGGUGAUACGUGUUUUUCCCGGGCUUCGUCUUCCGCAUUGCUUUAGGGGUUCGAUUUAGUGUCGAAUCCGGUUUUCGGGGAUCCGUUAUUCCCAACAGAUACUUUUCGGGAGAAGAGAUCGAAAAGUCUGUCUAUUUAGAUGAUUGGAAAGCAGGCGAAGGGGUGAAGUUCAAUAAGGUCUGUUAUAUCAUCUUGAUUGUUCUGGCAUGUACACGAAGGAAAGAGUAUUGGAACCUUUUAUUUACUUCAACAAGAGAAAUGGAACUAUUCCUCUCCUUUCUUCGUCGGGGUCAAGCCACAAAGAAUCUCUUCUUUCAGAAAUGAAUUCCAGCAACGUUUGAGCCAAGAGAGAAGGAAGGUAUCAUGGCUAGUCGUUGUUAGAAGCACCCAGAUGAUCUACGGCGUUUAAGGUCUAUUUGAGACAAUAUAUACAUGAUUGCUUUCUAUGGACAAAGGCAAAGAAUAUCAUUGACCUCUAUUUCUUUGAUUCAAGGCAAUGCUCGUGUUCUUCUUCCUUCUUUUGUGUAUGGAGUCUAUAGACAGGGUGGAAUGUGAUCUAAAGUGUCUAGAAGCAAAGAAUAAUUAUUUUUCUCACAGAAGCAAAGAACUAUUCGAUUCCUUCUUAAGAUACAAGAUAAUGUGAUUGAUGAGUCGAUAUUUUAGAAGCAUUUCAACGCAGAUUUCACAAAUUAAAUUAGUUGUUUAUUUAGUUCUUAUGAUUCGACAACUUUGGUAACUAUCGAAGCAAGCCAUAAAAAGCCUCUCUAAUAAGUAUUAGAAUUAAAGUCUGUUUGGCAUUUAUUUUUUGCUUUGUUAUAAUCUUGCAGCGUACCCAGAUUCACUUUUAUUGAUGUAAAAUGCUUAAAACCUUUGAAAGUGAUCUUACAUUGACAUGUAGAUUCACUUAUAAUUUUCCCCAUAUUUUUUAAUAUUUAAAUAAUAUUUAAUUUUCUAUAGCAUUAAAGCCAGUUAUUCGUUUUUUUUUUUUUUGCAACUUUGUUUGCCAAUGUUUAUUUCUCGAACAUUUUAUUAAGAUUCAUGUGGAGAAUUUAUGUCCAAAUUCAAUUGCGUAGCCUCUUCUUCUUCUUCUUCUUCUUCUUCUUCUUCUUCUUCUUCUUCUUCUUCUUCUUUGUGAAUUACCAUCAAAAUUGAUCGAAUAGACUUAAUGACAAAAUGUAAAAAAAAUUUAAGUACUUAAUUGACAAAAUUAAAAAAAAAAAAAGGUUUAUAACUGAAUUGAUAAAAGUGUAAUAGGUUUAUGUCAUUUUAGACAAUGUUCUCCAAAUGCAUUGAAUUAGACAAAUAGGCUUUGAAUCUACUUUACCAAAUACAAGAAUUUUUCGUCAAAUCCUUUUACGGGCUCAAAGUGCAUUGCCGAAUGGACCCUUGCUCUCCCCUCUUUAGGAUUCCCUCUCCUAAACGAUUUUAGCAAAAAUUAUAUAAUACACACACACAUAGUUAUGGCUUUGUACAAACUAUACCUAUUAAAAUAUCUUUUUAAAUCAAUACUGUUUUGCUUCAGGCCAAGCAAUUAAUCUCAACAAAUCAGGCAUCUACUUUAGCAAAGGAUGUCCUACAACUCUCAAGAGAAACAUGGCAUCGGCUCUUAGGGUUCCAGAAAUCACAAAAACGGGGAAAUACUUGGGCAUACCUUCAGACUGGGGGCACUCCAAGAAGGACAUGUCCACAUGGAUCAUAGCUCGAGUUAACUCUAAACUGGGCACCUGGAAGGAAAAAUUGUUAUCCAAAGCAAGAAAGGAAAUACUCCUAAAAGCAAUCAUACAAGCUAUCCCUCAAUACGCGAUGUCAAUAUUCAAAAUUCCUAUAUCAAUUUGCAAAGCAAUAAAGAGAAAGGUUGCAUCCUUUUGGUGGAAAAGCAAUGAGAAAAAGGCUGCAAUUCAUUGGAAGAAGUGGGAUUUGUUGAAAACCAGGAAGAGCGAAGGGGGAUUGGGUUUUAAAGACCUACAGACUCUCAAUAAAGCAAUGUUAGCAAAGCAGAUGUGGCGCAUCAUUAAAAACCCAGACUCUCUGCUAACCAGAUUAUGGAAAGGGUUGUAUUACUCACAUGGAGACUUCUGGAAUGCUAGCAGAGGGUCACGGCCCUCGUGGGGUUGGCAGAGUAUCAUCAUGGCAAGGGACUCGGUUGCUCCUCAGGUCAUGCACAGGAUAGGCAAUGGAAAAAACACUUCAAUUAGAAUAGACAGAUGGCUAAAAAGUGGCCCCAUAGGAGGCACAGCAUCAAGUCAUGAACCAGAAAAAGUCUCAGCACUCAUAAGUCCAGGUACAGGUACAUGGAAUGAACCUCUACUAUCCUCUAUGUUUGAUGAGAGGAGGGUGCGGGAAAUUCUAACCACACCCAUUGGCUUACCUAACGAAGAUGAUAAACUGGUAUGGAUACACACGAAAACAGGAGAAUACUCAGUAAAGAGUGGUUAUUCUAUGUUCAAGAAAGUCUCUAUUAUAGCACAAGACACACAAGCAACUUCGUCUUAUCAAGCCAGUCCCGACCUCUGGAAAAACCUAUGGCAGUCCACAAUCCCACCCAGAAUAAAAAAAAAUUCUCUGGAAUGCAUGCAAUAAUGCCCUAGCUACAAUGGAAAACUUGCACCACCGCAACAUCGUACCUUCUCCGUUAUGCCCCCUCUGCAAGCAGGAAGUAGAAACGCUUGAGCACCCAUUUCUCCUCUGCCCAUGGACCGCCAAGGUCUGGAAUUCAGCCCCCCUGCACCUACAGAUCUCCAGAGUCGGCCUUACCCGAUUCGAAGAAUGGAUCUGCAGCAUACAACAGACUCCAAUCAUCUCGAGUAAAUUUAACCUAAUAGCAGGGGUUUUAUGGAGCAUUUGGAAGGAAUGAAAUCGAUUUAUUUUUAAUCAGCAAAAUCCGAAGCCGCAAUCAACAAUAGCCAGAGCAAAAGCGCUCACAGAAAGCUACAAUGCUUUAAACGGAGAAAAGAACAGCAAGAAGAACGCCGAACACUUAUCUGAAUCUUGGCUUCCACCUCCUCCAGGAACGAUCUAUAUAAACAUAGACGCAGCAUACGAUCCAGAUCCGGAAAAGAACAUAGUACCCACCGAGAGGCGAGAACCUCCCUGACACCGUGCUGCCAUCGCAUGUGUAUGUCGAGAUUACCGAGGCUUCAUCGUGGAUGGUUUUGCGAAGCCAGUCGCUGCUGCUUCGGCUCUUCAGGCAGAGGCGAUCACAAUGGACGAAACCCUAACUUUCAUCGAGAGCCGCAGCUUUCUCUCUCCUCAAGUACACUCUGACUGUUUAUCUCUUGUGCACGCGUUGAAGACUUCAACUGAACUGAGUUGGGAACUACAUCCAAAAUGAGCCGGGCCCAGGCAAAACUCGAUCAUCUUUCGGGCCUAUCCCUGGCCCAUUGUAACAGGAGCACAAACCGCCCUGCGGACUGGAUAGCGAAGGCCUGCCGAAACAACUCCUUACCCUUGGACUGGAUUUCUAAUCCACCCCAUGCUUUAUUUGAUCUAUUAUGUACCGAUGCUCUGAGUGUUUUGUUUCAUCAUAUGAAAUAGUAAAUCAACGAAUGCUGUUUUGCUGUUCAAAAAAAAAAAUCUCUUUUUAAAGGGUUAUCAUCAUCCUCAUAUUAAUAGUUGAGCUUUAUUGUUUGAAGUGUUACUACAAAUAAGGAAAUCCACGCACCGGUGCAUAGAAGAUACAAAUCGUCUUUGGAAAAUCUUCAUAUUUGGACAGAAGGAGAAGGAUCGGGGGUAAUAAAUUAGCGCACAUAUGUUUUGCUACUGUUGUGGAAAAGCAGCAAAACUUUUUUCUUGCAAUGAGAAGAGAGUUCAAUUUUAACAAUCUACAAUUUUAGAUGACACAUUUAGAGGUAACACCGAGAAAACACCAAAUAGUAUGAUCAUCCCCUUGAUCUUCCUUGAUGUUCGCUGGUCAACCAACGAGUGUAGUCACCCGUGGUCCUGCAUUGCCAAAGAUCGAAACACUAUUUGGUUCUGCAUUUACUAAGGAUCUGAAUUGCUUCAACAUCUUGAUCCUCCUUGAAAAGAGAUUUGAACCUCGUCUACGGAAAAAUUCGCUUUGCAUAAGUCGUGCGUAGAGGCUUGUCACCUCAUCUCCUUCGCUGUCUAACUGAGUUUGAACAAACGUUUUUAACAAAACCUUAGUCAUAUAUGAAAUGAACAAUGCAGCAAAUGAAUAGACGUGCUACUUUUCUCCAUCUUUCUCCAAUAGAAUUGACACUCCAAUUUAAUCAUAAUGAAAUCGCCAUCGGAUUAAGAAACAGAGCAAAUCAAUGUGGUCCGAUGGUUUCAACAAAAACAUCCUCCACGUUUCUCUUUUAUUUUGGUUAGUUUUACUUCUUUCUAAUGCAUAUCAUCAAAAAAAAAAAAAAUUGGUGGGUAUGCAUAUCAUCAUUCAAAGAGAGAGUUUGAGCAAAUUUUUGCACAUUAGCAUACGCUACGAAACUAUGGGGAUUCAUAUUUCCCAUGUCCGCAUUUAGUAUAAAGAAUGGAAUUCUCUCAAUUUAGAGGAUAAAUUUCCGAAAUUCAUUUCUUUUGAGAAGUCGACGGACGAGAUUCUGAGAACGGAUAUGUCUUCCUUUUAUUCCUUUUCUCCGUUCCUUCUUCCUGGAGCAGCCCGGGCAUUGGGCAAUGCCCGUCACCACGCCACAUCGCAACUCCAAUCUUUCACUGCCAUCUUCCCUAGUUUGUUUCCUUUCCCCAACCUCCAUCAUUGUCAUGAUCCCCACCACCGCCAUCAUCCUCCUUCCUGACUCCACCAUUAUAGCUCUCCUCCUUCGCACGCACCCGAAAGUGUUAAGUGUAUAGCCUAGUCUUGACCACCAUCGCCAUCGUCGACUAACUACGCAAUUAUCCCAUCAGAGCGCCUUCUACUUUAACUGUCUGCAAACAUUCCUCCGAUCACCACCAGCAUUAUCGCACCAUCCUCUCUUUUUCUCCCACACGCGCACCCACCCACCCACGCCCACACCCCACACUGGUGAUCUAAGGUCAGUUCCUCAAUUUCAAGGUCCCUGCCCUCAGGAGACCUACGAUCUGAGGAUAGUUAAGGCGACAAACCAGUUGGUUCGUGUUCGCAACCAUCGCGCUUCUCUUUGUUCUUUGUCCAGAGAGAGAGAGUGGUAGAGCGACGGACAAUGCCGCUGGGAGGGGUAUUACAUCGAUGGUCCGAACAUUGGAGAGGACGAGGAGAUAGGCGGCGAUAAGAGGCAAGGAAGGGAGGGAACAAGAGGGGCCAGAGUUCGAUAUCUGGGGAUUGAGUGUAAAUAUUCACAAAGUAUGAGGCAUUCUAAUCAAUUUUUGAGUAAUUGGGUGUAGUCCCGUUACUCUCUGUGGGAGUCUCAACCGUAGAUGUUGAUAUCGACAUUUACACACACACACUAGAAAAGGAGAGACGGUGUGACACAAAAUUAGCUCUAUUGUCACCAUGCACAAUGUCUGGUGGGAAGGGUGGGGUGGGGACCGACAUGCAGCACAGUUUGAGCCGUGGCCCGAGCAUCCAACCCUUGGCAUUCGUUAAACAUACUAAGAGAAAGAUGAAUUUGCUUCAGAAUCGUCUCAACCUUAUCAAGAUACUUCGGUUACUAACCAGGAUCAUAAAUAACUCUGUAUAAUUAUGCCAAAUCACUGCACAUGUAUGGAGUGACAUCAUCCCAAUCUCCCCAUAUCAACCCGCCACCUUCUAUAGGAAAAAAGGGUAAGGCAUAUAAGAAUUACGGGAUUAGAAUUGUCAAAACAGGUCUCAAAUCCAUUUAUUAUCCCAAAUUUAUUAAAACACAUCUCAAUUUGACGGCUUAACCAUAACCGAUUCUAAAAUGAAAAGGCUAAAAUAAAUUACUUUAAAUGGGUUAUGUUAUUAACCUAUGUCCAACCCACUAAAAAAAUUGGGCCGAAUGACUUGAGGUAGCCCGUUUUGAUGUAGAUACUAGAUGCUCUUUUCACUCGCUCAUGACUAUCAAUCCGAAUGAAGCUCCUGCCGAUGAGUUCCUAGAGCAUCUCCUCGGCCGCCCAAACUUCGAUGCCACGAAGAUCGGCCUGGCUGCGGACGACAGGAGUGGCUCGGCUCCAACCACAUAUCCACCCUUGGCUGCCGGGGGAUUCCAUGGCACAGUGUUUCCACCGGGGCUCAGCUUGGAGCGGGGGAAGGGAGGGUUCCUGAAGCCCGAGGAGGCAUCCGGGAGUGGCAAGCGAUUUCAUGAGGGCCACUAAUGGCACGUGAAGGCGGAAUUUAUUUUAUUUUCGUUUAUUAUCUUUUGGAGAUCUGCUGAGCCUUUUUCUCUGUUUUUUUUGGGUGGGUUACGUGGGUGGAUGGGUUUGGAUCAGAUUGGGUAUAAGGCAUUUAAAAGGGUCAAUAAAUAAAUGUGCUGAUGUGAGUUAAAUGGGUGAAUUUGAGUUGAACUCACUUAUGACCCACCCAAAUCCAUCCUAACCCUUGCACAGGAUGAAAAACUCAUUGAACCAGAUAUCAUAUGGUAACAAGGCAAAGACGGAGUUUUGCAGGCAUUGACUGUGAGCAUGAUACAUUAAAUGAUGUCAUGACAUGACUAUGUAACUGCCCAAGAUAAGCCCAUGAGCACACAACAAUAAAAACAUGAAAGCGGACGAGAUAUUUAUCCCAUGCAUAUGAUUAAAGAGCCUAAACUAAAGCUUGAUAGUGUAGUGUGAGACAAAUUUCCCACAACAUAAAGUUUGAGGUAAACGAGUGGUUUGGUAUGCAUCAACCUCGGGUUCCGACUACCAUCUUCAAAUUGCAAACACGCUAGCUUUCCCUCCACAAGAGCAAAUGCCCUUGAAGAAGAAUUGUUAUGAUGUGAUUUACUCAUGCGAAUUCCCUUAAAGUUUAGGUCUAAUUAGCCCAAUUUACACAGAUGAACAAUGUUACCAUGAAUCAUGACCUCUUGGGCGAGUGGCUGUUCAAGGAUGAGAAAAAAUGGAAACAGAAGAAUAAAACUUCCUAUGCACACUUCAAAGUCAAUACAACAAGGCCGGGUCACCAAUUAUCAUUUUAGAAUGAAAAUUGCAAUAUGUGAAAGAACAGAGUUCAUGAUAUAUGUCUACAAUGGAAGCAAUACAAGAAUAACUAGGGCUCACUAAAGCUAUUGCUCAACUUUCAGCGAAUCCUCAAUCCGCUGGAUCAGUUGAUUAGCUGUCAAAGCACCUUCCUGAUAAUUGAAAACAGCUCAAUUAAGAUUAAGUGUAGAUGAUUAGAACAUCUUAAAACUGUAUAAGUUGCAAGCAAUCAAACAUCAGAAAAAUUUCACAACCGAAACUUGCGGUCAAAUUAUGAAUGAGAAUCAACUAACUUCCAAUUAAAUAACAUUCAAAGACCACAGAAUGUGCAUAAAUCUUAGGCAAUGCCCAUCAGUUAUUACCAUUUCUGCAUUGAGCCGGCAACCCUGUCCUUCACAGAAAAUUUAUGGGGAUACUCUCUGCCUAUUGCUAAAAAGAAAGUAUCACUUACUAUGCAUGGUUGCAGCAACCUGAGAACUAAGGAAGCUGUGUUACUGUUUUCCAUGGUCAAGCUCUACAAAGGGAAGGCCUUUCAUUGAUCGCUGUUGAAGACUUAUGCGGUUUGUGCGUAUUUAUCAUCGGUCAUUAUGUAUAAACAUGUCGGUGCUUCAUCAUGGUUUCGUUGCUGGUUCCAUGUUUUGUGAGAGAAUAAUGAUGAAGUUGGAUGGAAUCCCCCGGUCAAAAACAGUUUAGGAGGAGAAGCGAGGCCACAGAUUAUCGAUUCUUCAAGCCACAAGAGGGGCGUUGGUGCCUGUAUGCAUCGCAAGGGUUGUGUGCGCUUUUUUAACAAAAUGCAAGUACUCUUUCCAGUGUUCACCCUGUAUCUUUCACAUGAUAAUAAAAUUGCCAAAAAACUUGUGACUGCAGGUUUUUGUUCAUAUUGGGGUAUCCAGGGCAUCUCAUCACAGUAUCAAAAACUUUUACGAGCCUUUACUAACAUAUUAAUUAUGAGAACUUAGCAGAUUAAAUUUCCACAUGAUAGCAAACGUGAAAAAGAUAAAACUUACAAAACGCUUGAAAGGCUUCCCAUCUUUAAAUAUGAUCAAGUUUGGUAAAUGCCUAUAAAUUUGGAAGCACCGAUCGUCAAGCCUCCAAGAGGUAAACUUUUAAUGAAUCUUUUACAUAUGCAUUCCAAUCGGGGUAAAAUCUUGCUUUGUGAAAUUAAAAUGUUGAAAUUUCAAUUCAAGUCAAAAACACGCCUGACUCACAAAACUAAUUACAUUCGACCCCCAUUUUUUUGAACUUGAGACUUGUGUGCGACUGAUUAGGGAAGGUACAGCCGUUAAAUGAAUUGAUUCUUUUAAUCAAUUAAAUCUCUCAUGUGUACACGAGCAUUAUUGUAAAAGUGCACCGAAAAUAGACAGAACGAUUUUAUUUGGGUAGGCUCAGUGGGCGCACAUGACCUUCAUCAGUCGAUAAUUUCUUUUGUAGCUUAAUUAUUCUGGACAAAUUGGACCAUUUAUUUUUUUGCUUGUCCGCGUUAGCAGAAGGCAUGUGAACUAGAGAUUGGCCAGGAUCUCUAAUUCACCAGCAUUUGCUGCCUCAUCCACAAAUUGCUAAAUUUAGGCCUGCAUGCUUUAUUCGCGAAAGGUUGAGAUCCUCUGAAAAUUACAAAAUCAAUUUAUAUUUUUACAUUCACCUCAUAAAAAAUUGAUGUAUCUUAAUUUUUCUUUUCUUUCACUCUUUUCAUUUUAGACUUUCUCUGUGCUUAUCCCUCGAGUCACAUCGGUCCAUGACCUCGAAUUGAAGUCACCUGCCCUUAGGAAUGCCGGCCCGAGCAAGUCGCCUUGGAUUUGUUUGCAUUGGGGCCAAGAUAAAAACAAUCAUCAGAAACUCUUAAUGCCCCUCUCCGUAUGUCCCACCCCCAUGUAAAGCCCUUGCCGCCAUGAUCUCCACGGCAUUGCCACUACUGACCUUGAUUAGGGUUGUCAAUGGGUAGGGUUGGGCCGCUUUUAUAUGCUACCCAGCCCGACCCAAAUUAUAAGGGUCGCGUGCUCUAUCUAACAUGACUCGACUUGACUAGAAACCCAUAGGAUUCGAAGUGAAAACACAAGUCGGGUUGGGUUGGGUUUUCGGAUUUUUUGGCUGCUAGCCUCUCUGUAAUGCNNNNNNNNNNNNNNNNNNNNNNNNNNNNNNNNNNNNNNNNNNNNNNNNNNNNNNNNNNNNNNNNNNNNNNNNNNNNNNNNNNNNNNNNNNNNNNNNNNNNUUGCAUUUGCUAUCACUUAGACUUAUUGGCCGUAAACUAUUUGAACAUGUCAAUCACGACUAGAAAUAUGCUGUGUUGCCAAUGGAGCUACGAAAAUAAAAAUUGGCCGAGCAAAGAGUUCGAAGUAAGUGUGUUAGAGGGCGAGAUGGGGUCCAUCUUUAGAAAUGGGAGCCAUACAUGCUGCAAAGUGCAAAUUACAUGGUAUGUGCAAAUUACUUGGUGGAAAAUUUGGGUCUUUCUGCUGCUCCCGCUCACCUCUUCUUUAUCAGGCAAUUUUAUGUCGUGAAAAGACUGUCAAUCUGGUUUUAACUAUUCCAUUUCCUAGGAGUUUGUCAAAAAAACCAGAACUGUUUCUAAUAUAGAUCGAACAAUAUAAAAGUGAGUAACAAAGUAAAAAAGAAUUCUUAAUUUAAUUAUCCUCAUUUUCUGGAAAAUAGCAAGCUUUAAAUUAAACUUGAAGUUUUCACCAAAAAUAAAAUAAAAUAAAAUAAACAUGAAGAGAAAUUUACAGAGUUAAGUCUUGAGAUAGAUUUCCCAGCUUGGUUAUGGUUCACAAGAAACACAGCAGCAGGUGGAAGUUCAAACAAAGUAUAAGACGGUUCUUUCAGCAUCCUUCCUCUCUGAGCAAGCUUAUCCGCACAUCGGUUGCCUUCCCUGAAAGCAUGCCCGAUUUUAACUCUCUUGAAAGCUUCCAGGAGAGUCCUACGAUCAUUCAAAAGAGAAGCGAAAACAAGAUUAUUCAACAAAUUUAAUAACAGCAACGAUAUAGUUAUCGGAGCAUCCAUCUCCACCUACAGAUAAGUGAUGUGGACAGGAAACUUUAGGUAAAGACCGAUUAAAAACGACUUGUUCAUCCUUACAAUCAUGCAUAUAUGUGGAUGGUAAUGGCUUAGAAGUAAAACAAUAGAAUUCCUAAGAAAAGUGAGUUUGCACCAUGUUGAAAAUCAAAAUGCUUUUAGUUUCAAAGGUUCGUGCAAGUACACCGUUUCAAAGGUUUAUGCAUGUACACACUUACCUGAAAGGCAUGAAAAGAGACCAUCCAAAUCAAAAGAAACUAACCAAAACGACCCAUACUUCAACGGCCACUAACAAAGAAGAAGGAAAUUACACAUAGAUUCAUUGAUCUCAAACCAAAAGAAGAAAAACAAUCAUGAUUGAAACUCCCUUUCAAUAUGAAUGGCGGGAAGGCAAUUCGUCGACGAACCAGCUCUACAACAUCAUGUCUCAAGUGAAGGCAGUUCCUUGUUUUUACAUGGACAAAAUUCUCCAAUCAGAGAUGAGCAAUCAAUCGGUAUGAGAAGAGACUUCACAUGUGGGACUUGAGAUAUUCAAAGUCCAUGAUAUAUGCAAACACACUCGUACAUAAGUCCAUCGAAUCUCCCCAGGGUAUACCGAACCAAUUCCAAAGCUAACCACGUGUUUUUAUAUUGCAAGUGGAGGAGCACGUUUUAUAAUUCUGAUUGCAACGUCAAACCAACAACAGAAGUUGCAUGACGGAGAAAGGCUGGUGGCUCGGCCACAGAAGAACGGGGCGACGACAGUAGAACAAAACUAAACAGAGUCGAGACGAGAUGGAAGGAGUCAAGACGACCCUAUCAUCCUCAUAGACAACAGUGGAAGGAAUUUCCUUCGUAAUGAUUUUGUCAAAUCUGCAUGUCGAUAUAAUAUCCCACCAGAUCAGCUUCACAUAAGUCCCAAAAGAAAUGCACUACAUAGAUAUCCCCAUGAAUCUAACAAUAAAAUAAACAGAGACGAGACUAAGAGGAGGGCAGAGUUUGCAAAAUUGGAUUUUUCAACUGAAGAACCUCUGCAGCCUGAAGUCCGUGCUUGAUCAAACGAAAGAAUCACUGGGAAAAAUUUAAAAUCUCGAGUCUACUUCUCGGACGAUUCUUCCAUCACACUAAGAAAAAAACGGCCCACAUCAAUCCCCUCCGCAAACCAGUCGCCCGCGACUCACGAGCGAGAGACAUCGUAUCUAACCACGACCACACACCCGUAAACUGUUGAAUCGACAAUCGAAACUCGUCCGAUGGAAACAGCGAUCGAUGCUGAAAAAGGGCGAGGAAGAAAACCCAGCUGAACGCGCGAGCGAAGCUUCCACCACUUCAAAAAUUCGACAGGAAUAGGAGAAAGCGAGAGAGCGGCUUCCUUCUCAGAAGCCACGAGAGGGUUUAGCGACGAAUGAGAGCAGCUUCCUUCUCCGGCGGAGAUGGCGCUUCGUUCGACGGAGAAGGAAAGUGCGGGGAGAUGAGUGACGCGUUGGAACUGGAUGUUGGAAGAGACCAUGGAAAAUCGGAACCCUGGAAGGGAUUUCGGGCAUUUUGUUCCGGGUAGGGCAAACGGAACCUACCCAAACCCUAACGAUAACUGCACCUUGAACCCCAACUCGAACAAGAACCCCAAAACACCCGAAAUUUUCGGGCCGGAUCGGGCCUCACUUUUCUAACACCCCUGGGCCCUAACUUCGGUGAUGCUGGUCUAUCUUUCUACCUGAGCUACAAGCGAAAAGAUAGAUUCUUUUACCUCGCAUGGUCUAAUUGAUUAAUGUCUCAAUCAAUUUUCAAUGGUCAAUAUAUAUAAAUUUAGUAUGUAUCAAUGAUUGAAAUAGAUUGGGACGCUCAAGAGAAACAUAUUGUCCCAAAAAGACAUAAGGUUAUUUAUUUGGCUAAGGUAACCUUGCGUUGCGGAAAAACUUUAAUUUAUGUUUUUAAGGAACAGAUGUGCACGGGGGUGGGAGGUGAAGGAAAGAAGAAUUUAAGGGGAGUCUAAAUCUAGAAUAGUUAAUAGGCAAACUGCAAAAUAAAAUAGAGACGAAAAUGCCUCUAGAUAGAAUUGAUUGAUUUAUGGAUGGAGUUGUAUAUAAUAUUUUACGUGGAGAUCAUGUAAUAACAUGGCCUUGUUCAUGUGGGCCAAACUCCCGAAAACUAGCUUAAAUAAUUAUGCAAUGUAUGAUAAUUUGAAUGGGUAUUUAUCUAUAAAUCAUUCGACAAGGUAUCUCUUAUCGGAUGCAGGUCUUUAGGAUUCUACGAGCUUCUAUACUUAAAGAAUUGACGUCCUCAUUAGUUUUUUUUAUUUAUAAAUUUAUAAAUUUUGCUCGGCCAAUUUAUCGAGAGAAGUACGAAGAGAUGCUACUCGUUGCAAUAUUCUUCGCUGUGCCCCGUAGUUAGGAAUCCCAACAGAAAAUACAUAAACUAUGAAAAGAUAAACAAACUUUGCUAGAAAAAAAAAAUACUUUGCUAAAGAGAGACAAACAAAACUCCUCUUUUUUUUUUCUUUUUUUUUAACAAAUAUUUUUAUACUUAUUAGCCUGGCCCAGCAAAGAUCAAUAUUUUAGAUAUGUAUUCCGACCAAGGUCGAAUCUGAUCGUCUCAUCAAAUUAAAAAGUUUGAAGUUUCAAUUUUAGGUCAAACACGUGUCCGACUCACAAAACUAAUUAUCUUAACGCCCAUUUUUUUUGUACUCGAGACCCGCUCAUGGAUGGUUGAUCAGGGAAGGUUCAACUAAAGAAUAAAUUUAUCUUUUUUUAUUAAUCAAUAGAACCUCUUAUUCGCCAUACCAUUAUUGUAAAAUAAUAUUGAAAUCCGAUGGAACGAUGAUUUUGUUUGGAUAGAUUUAGUGAGCGCAUGCGACCAUAUAUCACCGGGGGGGCAUUCUCCUUGCUUACCAUUUAUGACUACUCGACUGGGUCUCAAGAAAGGAUUGAUCACAUGGAUGCCGCCUGAAUGCGCCCCAAAUUCUUUUUCUUGAGGGUCAAGAUAUUUACGAUUUUGCCCCCAAACAAAAACAAACAAAAGCUAUCGCAGCAAAUUCUUGUUUUGAUUUCCCCUUCUUUGUUACGUCCCCUCCACGUAGGAGGGAUGCCAACAGAGAAGAGAAUACAUAAAAAGCUAUGGAAUGGAAUGGAAAGAGACCCUGCUCCCCAAACCCCCAAACGGAACUCAACUCUGUUCUAACAAUAAUAAUUAAUAGUAUUUUACACUCAUCAACCUCCCCUCUCUCCCUCUCUCCCUCUCUCCCUCUUCCCUCAAUAAAAUAAAAGAAAGACCCCACCUCGCUCACUCCUCUCCCGAGGCUAGGAAUCCGAUCCGGGCCCACGUGACGAACUCAUCUUUGAUUUUAGGUGCUGCCUCUCCAUAUGUCAUUUCCUCUGCGGGACCCAGGCCAGGCGCCUCGAAAGUGACCCGGGCGGCUGGGUCCCACUCGAACUCCGCCCACCAGCCUUUAUCCCCCCAGAUCGAGAAGCUUCCCCUCAUUCCGUUCGAGUCCAACGGCAACUUUCUGAGACCAGGGCAGCCGGAUAUUCCGAAUUCCACCCCUUGAGGGAAAAGUAGAGCGUGGUCGCAAAUGCUCUUUAGUUUUGGAAGACGCUCGAUAUGUAGAUAUUUGAGACGUGAGAAUAGUUCUGAAGUAGCUAAUUCCUCUCUUGCAAUUCCAUCCCCGAUUAUUUUCUCCAUCGAAUUGCACCGCACAACUGUCAAACUUUGGAGUUUCGGAGCGUGCACAAGCCAGGACAAAUAAAAAAAUCCACAAUUGAAGACUUCAACCUCAAUGAGGCUGGGGAAGCAAUAGCAAUUGGGCGCUUGUCCUAUCCCUUGAUUAAUCUCCAUCUUCACGAGCAUACGACAAUCGUAUAAAUGAAGCACCUCUAAAUGCGAAAAAUUGCCGCUCCCUUUUAAUGAGUGACUUAUCGGGAUGUGGGUCAAGCCCUCGCAAUUCUUGAUAUCUACUCUCCUUAUGCGUCUCUGAAAGGAUUGGAAUAUUUUUAGGGUAGAGGAAGAUUUGUUCACCUUGAUAGAUAAAUCGGUGAGACCUUGCAUGCGCCCUAGUUCCUCCACCACCUCCUUUUCAUUCUCUAGACUUGAUCCCCAACUACUGAACACAUUCAAUGGUAAGCUUGCGAUUGCCCCUCUCGAAAUUACGAUGCCUCCCGAUAGAUGGUCUAGUAGCAACCACCCUAAAUGAGUCAACUUCCUAAUUUUCUUGGGCAUCGCAUUAAUACUAGUGCCCGACAGGUUCAAAUAUCGUAGAUUAAUCAGAUUGCAAAUCCCUUCGGGGAAUGACUGAAUUUUUUCAUUGUUAGACAGGUCCAAGACUGUCAAACAAGCCGCCAUCGAGUUGAAAAAUCCUUUUGGCACAAGCGUCACAUUAGUUUCUCUUACAAAUAAAGUUUCGAGCUGAGAACACAUGGGUGGUGUUUGAUCGAUAUUUUGUAUCCAUUGUCCCCAUAGAGAUACUUUCUUUGCUUCCCACCAUUUGGAGAUCAUCUCUGCGGACAUGUCUUCUUGGUUCACUAUCACUAGCAAUUUGUUCUCUUUUUUCCCAUGGUCACGAGCAAUCCAGGUUGCCAUGUCGCGGAUGACGUCGUGCAUCUUUACAUGCCGUCCCUCAUAAUCAUCAUGCCCACUUUUGUUCAUUGGAGCGCCGGAGUGCGGAGGUUGGUUCUUCCCAUCAUUGAAGUCAGAGUGUGGGACUGACUGAAUGAUAAAGACAAAAAAGUGCUUAGUUUCGUUGGAAAAACCAACCCAAAUAUCAUAUUUACUUUCUCUCUCCCUACUUAUAAAGAUAGAUAGAAAAGGGUUGAGAGACUUACUUUCUUAAAUUCUCUCCUUUCUAAAGCUGCGCAAGGCGGCCCCCCCAGAACAAAGCCCACCCCUCUUUUCUCCCCUUUCAUGAAAGACCCUUGCCCCGCUUCCUAUUCAUUUGUGGGUCGGGACCCUAGGGCCUUUUUUUUUCUCAAGAGGUGAUUUCGAGAAUCAACCAACCGACAAAUCCGUAGCCCAGGUGACUCACAGCCUACCUCUCGCCCAGAUGGGGAUGAAGCAAAUCAAGUUGCUUUUUGAUUUAUUCAGGGCGCAGCGAAGCCAAAUUCAAUCAAGACAAGGGGGGCUUACNNNNNNNNNNNNNNNNNNNNNNNNNNNNNNNNNNNNNNNNNNNNNNNNNNNNNNNNNNNNNNNNNNNNNNNNNNNNNNNNNNNNNNNNNNNNNNNNNNNNNNNUUGCUUAGGGGUCGCACUUUGUUUUGUCCCGCUUGGUGGACGAAAUCUUCUCUCCAUACUCUCCCUUAUACCGCAUACUAUAUACAUCAUUGGUGUCUCUUAGCAAGCCCUCUCCAAUCCAGAGUUCAAUUAGGCUAUCUAUUCUUAUAGGGUAAUCCUCAGGGAAGAGACAACAGUAAAUGAAGCAAAGCUUAACAAUAGAGUCAUUUAAACUAUUAUAACUAAACUCUAGUAUGUGGUACACUUCCUCCACCAUACCUGGCAGCUUGUAUGGAUUGUUCCUUAGCGUUGUAAGUGCAUGCUUCCACUCAUCAGGAUUCUCUCUACCAGCCAUGGCUCGCCCGACGGUAAUAAGGGCUAGUGGCAACCCUUUGCACUCUCUGACAAUGUUGUUGGCAAGCUCUUGAAUUUCUGGAUGAGAAUGUAUAGAUGAUUUGCUGAUGUUGUUCUCGAACAACGCCAGGGCUUCUUCGGGCGUCAAGCAUUGUACUUCGAAGGUUUCAUCGGCUCCCAUAUGAUGGCAUACUUGCUUCAACCGAGUUGUGAAUACUAUUUUGGAUUCGUUCUCGAGACUAGAAUGAAGAACUCCGAUUUGAGAAAGUUCGAGGCCCGCCCAUACAUCAUCCAUCAACAACACAAACUUCUUCCUGCUCAAAACUUCCCCCAAAAGGUGGACCCUCUCAUUCCGAGAUUGUCCUUCCCAGCUCUCGUCUUUAAUGUUCAGCUUUUUCCUUAUGGUGUCUCGAAUGCCAUCUUCAUUCACGUGCUUGGACACCACCACCCAAAUAACAACCUCGAAUCCAUGAUUUGCGUGCGAAAGCUUCUCGUUGAUCCUUCUCAUGAGGGUGGUCUUUCCCACACCACCUACUCCAUAUAACCCAAUCACUCGUGCUUCGUUUUUGUCCACAAGCCAUUUCCACACUGUAUUAAGGGAACUAUCAAGCCCCACAGUCUUGUCUAGGGGCGUAUUGAGCACUUGACGAGGAGGAGGCAGCGAUGACAUCAAAUCAUUGAUUUCUCCUUUCUUACCUUGGAGCUCUCUCGCUUCAUUGAGCAAUCGAUCAACUCUUUUCCCCAAUUUAUAGCUCGACCAGCAAUUCUGAGGAAGACAACGACUGAAACAUUUGAUUCGGUCACAUUCCCUGGCUUCUUCAAGAACUCGAUCUACUUUAUCUUCAAAAUUUUGCACCCUGCAUAACCAGUUCUCCACUUGAUUCGUGCGCUGUGCACAUCCUCUUUCUUCUGCACGUCCCACCUCUGCCCUCACAUCUAAGCGCAUGGCCUCCAGAUCUCCAAUGGCCGUCCCCAACGCCUCCACAUUAUCUGUCAAAUUACAAAUGUAGCCCAAAGGUUUGCUGGCCAAGCCGCAUAACCCUUUGACGAGUUGUAACAGACAAUUUGCGAAAUCCAUAGAUUCUUUCGGGAGAUGAGAGAUCGAAAAAAGGAGUAAUCCAGAUGGAUUGAGAGCAGGAUUGAGAGCAGGCGAAUGGGUGGAGUUCGAUAAUAGAGGGUCAUGUAGUAAGGGACGACUUUUACAGAUUCAAUAAUGGAGGCCCUGACCAAUGGCCCCACAACAGGACAAUAAUACAAGCAAAAGUACAAAUCACAGCUCGGGAGUUGAAUUAUUGCGCACGCGGACAAACAACUUUUUAGAAAGUUGGAUUAUGGAAAUAAAGCACUCCUCGCAACCACACACGCAUAUAUAUAAAAGCAAAAAGUACAUAACACAACUCAAGGUCGAAUUAUUGCGCAUACCGACAAAUAACUUUUUAGAAAAUUGAAUUAUAGAAAUAAAGUGUAACUCACAACUUUUCCACAAAACAGUCUGAACAUUCAUGAGGCUUGAAAUUUGAAUAUAACGCAUCUAUCAUGCAAGAUACCACUGAUCCUCGCUUCCGACGAAUUUUAGGAUAAUGUUAAAAAAAACAUGGUAAUAUUUUUAAAUACAUCAAUUCGUUGUUGAUUAGGUCCAUAAUUUUAUACAAUAAGGUUUUUCCUAGCACUGUUAUGUAAUUUUUGUAAAGGAGAUUAAUUAUAGGGAGAAGAAAAAAAAAAUUCAAUAGGAAUUGGCAACUUUAAUUAGUAAAAUUAAUACCUGCGUAAUAGGAAAUUGUGACUUUGAAAUAAUCUUGCAUUAUUAUUAUUAUUAUUAUUAUUAUUAUUAUUAUUACAAAUCAAAGACUGGACAUUAAAAUCCACGUGCAUCGUGCAUUUAAUUAUCCAAACAUGCCUCCCUUUCUUCUUGAGAUUAUUAGUUGCCGAUGGUAUUCGUUUUGUUUAAUUUGGAUCUGGCAACACCGAUAUCCAUAUAUAAAAUUAAUGGGUUGCAAUUAUCUAGUGGUGCUAAGAAGAUGGGGCAAAAAAGUAGACUCGUAUCUAGUUAGAAAUAUCUUGUUUACAAUAUGGCAAAAAGUUGAGGACAGUACAAUACCAAAAUCGUAUGAAAUAAAAUUUGAAAAUGAAAAAAAUUAAGCUCACUCACAAAACACAUUCGUUUCUAUCACUGAGUACAGGUAUGAGCAUGAGUUGUGGGUCUCUAAUUAUCAUUGUAUCAGUAGCCAUGAAAAUUAGACAAAUUUUUUUCACACCAUUCCCAAUCCAAUAUUCUUAGGUAGUACUAUGAGGUAAAUGCACGUUGUGCAUUUACCUUCUAACCCUAGAUGAUCCUCAUCAUUUUAAUCUCAAAUACUAAAUCAGAUCAAAUCAUAUAUUCUUACGAAACAUGAGUGUAAUCUUUUAAAACACAAGGUUCUCUCCCUAGAGAUUCGUCAUGCGAAAUGUGAGAUGCGAACGUUCGUAUAUGAUUUUUCGUCAACGGUCAUAUCCAUGAGUUUUUCUAAUUUUGGCCAACUUGUCACCCAUAUGCCACUAUCCUAUUACAAAAGAAAAACUAAGGACCGAUGAUUGGCGAAACUCCAUACGCAUCAAUAUUAUAAUUAUUGGUGUUAUUAUUAUUUGACAAUAAAAGAGAAAAGUCCGAGUGUUACACUAUUAUUCUCUUAAGAAAACUUGAUACAAUCGAAUUCUCUAUUAAUAAAGGAAAAAAAACAGAUUAGUAUAUAAACUAAUUAAGGAGAUUCCAUGUAAACAGAUUAUUAUAUACUAAGCUCCCAUUACUAUGCCGUCCCACUUAUCAAUGUUUAAAAUAUUGGGUCACUUUAACUUAUAAUUGAAAGAUUUUUUCUUUUAUGUUUGGUCGAUUGGAUCAGUGGCCAGCUGGACAAACAUUAGUAAUCCUUGCAAAACUUUUUAAUGGUCUUGGCUUGCAAAUCCUUUCAAACUCACCAUCUAAAUCUCAUAAAGUGACCUAGAUUGUCUCUGAAGAGUAGCCCUUGAAACUAGCAUUACGACGAAAUAAAUUACAGAGACGGAAAGUCAGUGGCGGGCUUGGGAUGAGUGAUGGCCCUGCCCCUAUCAGGAAAAAAAAAAUAUUACCCAAUUAUAAUUUUUCUAAUAUAUUACUACAUAUUAUUAGAAUUUUUUAUCACCCCUAAUCUUGAAUUUGCUACUCCAUUCACCCAUGGUCCCAACAUAAUGUCGACUUUCGAGUAAGAUGGAAAUUGCUAAAGAGAAUAGUAUAGGAUGCGAUGACACUAACAAUUCAUGGAAUUUCCUGUUUUGCUUGAUUGAUUCUGAAAUGACCAUAUAAAAAAUAUAUCAGUUUAUCAUUCCAAAUAUUUUCUUUUUAUUAAUAUUGAGUUUACUUGUCAACUCUGGACAGUGGGGUUUUCACUUUCCAGCUUCGAAUUGGUUGGAGAAGUUAAAGCCAGGUUUUCACUUUCCAACUUCGAAUUGGUUGGUAAAGUUAAAGCUGAGAAACUAAAGGAGAAGAGUGGGCCUUGCUUUGAUGGACAGCAUAUUCAUCCCCACUUUCCCAUAUUUGAUUUUUUUUUUUUAAGUUACUUUUUCAGCAAAGAUGAGGAAUCUUAAACAACUUUUUUCCCCGUUAUAAAGAUUAAGAUGUGAUCGAAUAAGAUAAAAUAAGAAGUCUCAUCAUUUAUUUGAUGAAACUAUCUAUUACCCUAAGACCAUAUUAAUGAUCUCGCAUAGUUUGAUGUUAAUUCCCCAAUCACAGGCAAUCAACAUAUCAAUUGUUGUCCUCUCACGCACAAUCUAUUGUAUUUGUCUCCUCUUUCUCUUAUUUGAAGUUCUCUUACAAGUAUUCUUAACAAGAUCGACCCACCCUAGAUGUCAAUUAAUAUGAAUUCAAACUCCAUGAAAUUCAAGCAACCUCACUCCUGAGUUGAAGUAAAAAAGACACCUCUAAAUCUAGAUGAAAAGCCCAUCGAUUCCUCCAACAUAGACAAAACAUAGCCACUAAUUAGCCAGGUUAUCACCUUUUAAUUUGCCUCUGACGAAAAUUCCUUCAAUUAAGAGAUUAAGAUAUCUCCUACUAAUAUUGAUCAAGAAGGUGCCAAAAUAUCACAUUUUUUCCCUAAAAGAGGAGAAAUUAUAUUUGGCCACUUCAAUAAUGGAACCGAAGGAUCAGCCGCUGCUAGCACUGCCCAGCUCCCCCCUACCAUCGAAGGAAGGACCCCAUCUGCAAAACCUGACUUGAGGCUUCAACCUUCAAAGGCAAUUAAAGGGGAAUUUGUUCUUGUUUUCCACCAAGAACUACUGAUAAAAAGACUCGUCAAAAACUCUACCACCCUCUCUGUCUGCCCCACGCAAGGCCCUUGCCGCCACCAUCUCCACAGUACCGCCAUUACUGGCUUCGACAGUGAUGGUCUCUCUCUAAGCUACACCUUCUCAACAUUAAUAAGUCAGUCAUUGAAAGCGAAAAAANNNNNNNNNNNNNNNNNNNNNNNNNNNNNNNNNNNNNNNNNNNNNNNNNNNNNNNNNNNNNNNNNNNNNNNNNNNNNNNNNNNNNNNNNNNNNNNNNNNNGAGGAGACACCAAGCUUGCAGAAAGAAAGCCAAUCACAAACACAAUUAAAAAGGGGAAUUAUGCAAAUCGAAAUAUAUGAAGGAACAAAUGGUAAGACUCAUGUUCAGUUAAGCAAACCACAAUGAUCCCUAUCCAAAUUGUUUGAGAGUUAUAAUAAAACACAAUGAUCUCUCACAAAAAAAGGAACCAUCAUAGUCACCCUCUUCGUACUAUUGUCAAAACCCACUCAUUCUAAUCACUUAUACUUCUCUCUUAAAAUUAUUAAAAUAAUGUUAACAUUUUGCACAAGCGCUAUUAUUUUACAAUUAGUCUGUCACAAAUAAUUAAAAAUUUAAACAUAAGUUGCAUACAAUCAACAAUUAAGUUUACUUUUAUUGAUCUGUUACUCCAUAAAUCUAAUGUCUCAUGGAUUUGAUUUCUUAGCACAAUUUUAAAUAUAUAUAGUUUAUUGUGAAUAUAAUUAUAAAAUAACGACUUGAAUCCAUUUGAAUCCAUUUAUUUACAAGUAAAUUAAAUUAAAAUCUGAAAGUUAAGAAUUAACAUAGUUUAAAUAUUGUACAAUUUGAAGUGCAGAAUUGUUUCCUCAUUACAUUCAAAUUUGUAUAUUGGCAAGAAAAAAAAAUAUGUCGACAAAUUAUUCUUCUAUUAAGUAUGAAUAUAUAGAUAGGAAACAAAUUGAAAGUAAAGUUAUUUAGAUUCAUUCUAUUGCUAGUUCAAGAAAAAGCUUUGAGAAUUAAAUGACUAAUAACAUAUUUUAUUGAUAAAAUAACAUAAUUAAAAGAUUUAAAACUGAAUUGGCCAAUAGAUCCAAGACUUCUUGAACAAUUUUCUCCCUAAUCUUCAAUUGUCAAGGAUUCUACCAAGGAACUAAACUGCUCCAACUUCUUGAUCCUCCUUGACAGGAGAUCCAAACCUCAUCUAUGAAUAAAGUCGGGCGGCAUGACUCAUGCAGUGAUCUUUGUCACAUCAUCUUGUUCACCAUUUAGCGAGAUUUGAAGACUGAUGUUUAUAACAAAAUGUAAGUCAUUGUCUCGAAUGAACAAUGUAGCAUAUGAAUAGACUUGCUACUUUUCCGUUUAUCUGUCUCCAAUAGGAUUAAGACUCCAAUUUAAUAACAAGUUAAAAUGAAAUCACCAUUGGAUUAGGCAAGUAGAACACGUCAACGGGGUUUCAAUGGUUUCCACGAAAACGCUCUUCAUGUUUAUCCAGGGCAUCUCAUCACAGCAUCAAAAAUUUUAUGAGCCUUUACUAACAUAAUGAUUAUGAGAACUUAGCAUAUUAAAUUUCCACAUGAUAGCAAAGGUGAAAAAGAGAAAACUUACAAAAUGCUUGAAAGGCUUUCCAUCUUUAAAUAUGAUAAAGGUUAGUAAAUGCCUAUAAAUUUGGAAGCACUGAUCGUCAAGCAUCCAAGAGGUAAACUUAAAAUGAAUCUUUUACUUAUGCGUUCCAAUCAUUAUAAAAUCUUGCUUUGUGAAAUUAAAAUGUUAAAAUUUCAAUUCAAGUAAAAAACACACCUAACUCACAAAACUAAUUACAUUUGAUUCCCAUUUUUUUUUUUAACAUGAGACUUGUAUGCGACUGAUUAGGGAAGGUACAGCUGUUAAAUGAACUGAUUCUUUUAAUCAAUUAAAUCUCUCAUGUGCACACAAGCAUUAUUGUAAAAGUGUACCGAAAAUAGACAGAACAAUUUUAUUUGGAUAGGCUCAAUGGCGCACACGACCUUCAUUAGUUGAUAAUUUCUUUUGUAGCUUAAUUAUUCUAGACAAAUUGGACCAUUUUUUUUUGUUUUGCUUGUUCUUGUCCACAAAUUGCUAAAUUAGGCCCGCAUGCUUUAUUCGCGAAAGGUUGGGAUCCUCUGAAAAUUACAAAAUCAAUUUAUAUUUUACAUUUGCCUCGGAAAAAAUUGAUGUAUCUUAAUUUUUCUUUUCUUUCACUCUUUUCAUUUUAGACUUUUUCUGUCCCUCAGGUCACAUCGGUCCAUGACCUCGAAUUGAAGUCACCUGCUCCGAGGAAUGCCGGCCCGAGCAAGUCGCCUUGGCUUUGUUUGCAUUGGGGCCAAGAUAAAAGCAAUCAUCAGAAACUCUUAAUGCCCCUCUCUGUAUGUCCCACCCCUAUGUAAAGCCCUUGCCGCCAUGAUCUCCACGGCAUUGCCAUUACUGGCCUUGAUUAGGGUUGUCGACGGGUAGGGUCGGGUCUGGUUUUCGGUUUUCUUGGCUGCUUGCCUCUCUGCAUUGCUUGUCCGCAAGUGAACAAACCUCAUUGCAUUUGCUAUAAAGUAGACUUAUUGGCCGUAAAUUGGCCGUAAAAUAUUUGAACGCAUCAAUCACGACUAGAAAUAUGCUCUGUUGUCAAUGGAGCUACGAAAAUAAGAACUGGCAGAGCAAAGAAUUUGAAGUAAAUGUGUUAGGGCGAGACGGGGUCAAUCUUUAGAAAUGGGAGCCAUACACGCUGCAAAGUGCAAAUUACACGGUAUAUUUCUUGGUGGAAAAUUUGGGUCCUUCUGCUGCUCACGCUCACCUCUUCUUUAUCAGGCAAUUUUAUGUCGUGAAAAGACUGUCAAUCUGGUUUUAACCAUUCCAUUUCCUAGGAGUUUGUCGGAAAAACCAAAACUGUUUCUAAUUAUAGAUCAACCAAUAUAAAAGUGAGUAACAAAGUUAAAAAUAAUUCUUAAAUAAUUACCCUCAAAUUCUAGAAAAUAGUAGGCUUUAAAUUAAACAUGAAGAGAAAUACAGAGUUUUAGUCUUGAGAUAGAUUUCCCAGCUUGGUUAUGGUUCAAAGAAACAUAGCAUCAGGUGGAGAUUCAAACAAAAUACGAGACGGUUCUUUCAGCAUCCUUCCUCUCCGAGCAAGCUUAUCUGCACAAUCCUAGGACCACAAAUCCUUCGAAUCUACAUCUAUCAUACAACAAAAACCACAUAUAUGGUUUUGAUUACUUUUGUGCUUAUAAAAUUUAUGUUUUCUCUGUAAGUUGUGAUGAUAUGCCCUGUUUCUUCAAAGGCCUUUAGACGGUAAAGCAACCCGCCGACAAUACUCUGCAAGAGCCCACAAUGGGAAUAUGUUCCUGUAAGCGGCAUAGUGUAACAUGCAAUUCCUGAAGAAAACCCCAGUGAUUUCCUGCAACACAAAACUAUUAACUAUUAAGAAUAAGGGCAGGCAAAGUUCAUGCUUAGAUUAUGUUGUUUUGUUGUAAGGCAAUUCUCAUCGAUCAAGUUCUCUCUCUAAUUAAGGUUUUUUUAUUUGCAGUUUUUCCUGAUGAUGUUUUGAGUAAUUAAACAAAACUGCUUGUGAGAUAAUACACCUGGACAAUAAUCAUCUCUAGGCUCUACUAGUUGUAUGGAUUAGUGCUCAGGAAAUUCUUUCCAAGGAUAUCGGUGGGGCGCAGUCUCUUAUUUCCUGAGAUAUUAACCUAUAUGAGAUCAAGUGAUAGAAAGGUACAAACCUGUUGGGGGUAAUUUCCGUCUUCCAUUUGUGAAUUGAUUAGCAGCUUUGUGGCCCGGUGCACGGGAGUUGGAUCCCUCUCCGCCUGAUAGCAGAUGAAAUAUCAAAGUCAGAAACUUCACAUAGAAUAUUGACUUUUACUAUCGCCAAAGUACGGUUAAUGCGAUUGAGACCCAGACGACAAUAUCAUUCACUGACCCGCCCCGCGUGAAUCAGACCCAUCAUAGCCCAAGCGGUGUGCGCCAGAUUUGAUCUGUUUCCUUCAAGUGGUAUGUAUUCCUACAUCGACCGAUCUGGCAUUAGAAAAUUCAAGAUUUCCAUUCUCCCAGAAAAGCAUGCAACUAAAACAGCUAAAGCCGAACAUGCUGUUGAAGGUCCCUCUCUAAAUUACCUUCCUCGGGCAAGAAAGAUUGCUCUCUCCUCACCUGCCAUUCUGCAACUGUGUUCGUAGAAGAAAGGUGACUCCAUUGCGCAUAGCUGCACAAUUGAUAUAUGUCUUGCCAGCAGCUGCUAGUCCUCCAAGCGCAAACCAUGAGCCGUAUAUAAAACAAACUCCCCAGCACCCGUACCUGCAAGGAUUGCUCAAUUAGCUAGCUGUUUCCUUGACUUAUCCCAAUUCUUCACAACUAUCCAAUGGAAAAGGAACAUACCAUGACCCGUCUGGCUUUUGCAUGCUCUCCAGAUACUGUACAGCAUUUGAUAUAAAAUCCACUAUCUCCUCCUUUUUGUGACGAGGAUACAAGUUCCUGAACAAAACCAAAGCUUGGAUAGCUGAUGAUGUGCAUUCAACAUAUUCAUGCUCAAUGACGACGUCCUCUAAGAACUCUGUCGGAUUUAGAAACCGCAAGUGACAAAUGAUGAGAAAGAAUGCCCUGAUUUAGUAAUUGAUGAACAAAGAAACAUGUCUUAAUUAGUGAGGACCACCAAGGAAUUCCUACAAAAUUUAGUAACUUACUUCUAGCCAAUCCUGCGCUCCUGCAGGCUCCCAUGCUGCCAAUCUGCCAUUUUUACUCUGGAACAAGUGACAUCCAUGGUUGAUGUGACCAUAUUACAAUUUAUUAUCACACUUCGACAUAUGAAAAAAGUUAUGAAACUCUAAGAAAAACUUAAAUAGCAACGUGAUUUUGGAAUGCAUAGAGCAAACAAAGUUUAGCCUAUAUUUCUUGUCGAGAUCAAAAAUUUUCUCAAAGUCUUGCUCAAGAAAGAAAAACGAUGAUAUACUCACUUGUUGAGAGAGUAAGAUGUUUGACAGCAUCAUCCAAUCUCCCUGGCUCCAUCUUGUCACCCACAAUUUCAGGUGGCAUCAUUGAAAAAAGCAAGCAACACUGAAUAUACAGCAUAACAGAUUCAGUGAAAAACCGGGCAAUAUAGGAUUGGAUUGACCUGCGGAUGCAGUGAAGGUAUCCACAGCAGCAUUACCUUCAGAGCUUCUGCAGUGCAAUCAGAUACUUGCCAACCGUGAUCUUGAUCCGAUAAUGUCCAAGAUCCUUUAGAAAUACGAUGGUACAUGUAUUUGAAGUCAACAGAAGGAUUCUCCUUGACCUGAAAUGUUGUAAACGGAUCUAUGCGGUUCAGCUUAUGCGAGGAAGUGAAAGAAAGUAGAAUGUUUGGAGUCAAGCAGAAGCUCACAUGAAUCAAAGAUCAAACCUGAGAUUUUUUAAUGAAGUCGUGUCCUCUAGCUAAUACUGGCGCUAUCUCCUCAGUCAUGUUACUGGCAAGCAAAGCUUGGAUGGCGACGCCUGCGUCCCACUCUUGGCUACCAAAACUCUGCAUACGAACUAGCCAACCGCCAAACUAAGCUUUCCUCUAGAUGAUAUCACUUUACUUAAUCAAUCUUCUCAUUGUUAUAAGAAGACUUCCAUCUUUCAAAUUUGCAGCAUAAAUAUCUAUCAGUACAAUUGAAGCCCAAUUCUAUUAUAGCUCAGUGACACUAUUACUAACCUGCAUCUUCAUUCCGUCUUCAGCAACCCAAAGGUAAUCUGGUAUCCUAGCAAGAUGCUUCUUGAAAUAGUCACUGUCUGGGUCCUCUACCCAGCAAGCAAGCAUGCAUAACACCUGUCCGAGUCCAAAGCAAAAGAAAUACUCAGUGAUGUUUUCCCAUGAUGUGUGAAUAUUGAGUUAUCUCUCUCUCUUUCCUCCUUAAAUCUAUACUCAUUACCUUUUCCACACAUCCAAUAGUGAUAUAUCGACUGUUCUCAUCUUCAUAGUGGAUGUGCUUCAUCGUCACCUGAAGAGCCUUCUCUCUAAGUUUAUUAAACGGCCAACAGUUGAGAAAAGGCUCUGUAAAUAUGUGAAGACUAUCCCAGAUCAGAUCUUGUACUAAGUGAUGGGGAUAGUAGAGAUCCUCCUGCAACAACAACUUGAAUCACUUCAUUAAAAAUUUGCUGACUCACAAACUAUCUGAUUCUGGAUCGAUAUUUUGGACCCGGUAAUGAUACUUGCCUUGGCACAAAGAUGGUGGACUUUUCUCCAGCUAAUCGUGUCAUAGGGUUGAGUAUGAAGUUCUUCUCUCUCAACUGUGGAACAAGAGGCGUGAUUGGACUAAUGAAUCUUUUCACAUACAAAUAUGACAUGGGCAUGUAAGUCAUCCAACAGUAGCAAUACAUCUUAGCUACAUUAUGCAAAACGGUACAAUUCAGACAACAUCUCCAUGAAACUAAGGAGAAACGCAAUUAACGAAACAGAAGUUGAAACUUUCUAUCUUUUAAUGGGCAUUCUGGGAGGGUGGCCAUUUUAAAAACAAGCCCACGCCAUAUUCUUGUUGGUGCAGCAAAAAUGCCAUAUCGUUUCAAUUUGAAAACUAAUCCAACACCUUUGUCUUAAUACCUAAGCAAAAUUAAAUAUACAGGACUACUAUAGAAUACCAUCAAGGACAAGAUUAAGAUAUCUGCAAAAACAAACCAGGAUGAAUGGGGACGAAUGAAGGUAAGAUCCAGAACUCACGAUUCACAUCCACGGGGGGCAAAGCUGGAGUUUCGGUCACUCCUGGUUUGGUCAGUGGAAUACCUUUGGAAAUGUUAUCAUGUUGACAGAGCACGCUGCAAACUAUCAUUCAAGGCCAAUUCCAGACACGGAAGUUCCUCGUCUCUGAAGGUCAGUAGAGUGUGCACAAUUAGGGGUAUAACAUCUGACCGCAAAAGGUUGGAUGAUUAUUUUUUGUUGAAGUUCUUAUGCUGUGUAAUUCACCAGAAGCACAACACGCUCUUGAUAAGAACGACAGCAAUCAACAAGGUCAACAAUUACUUCUUCCUUGAAAGCCUGCCACCAUGUCCUCCAUUAUAAGAUUCAAAAUGUAAUGUCAAAAUCCAACUCAAUCUGCACUGAAGAUUGCAAGCUACAUAACUGAAAAGGUAUCUUCCCAAGGGCAAAAAUCAAGUCUGCAAGCAAAAAGGAGAAACAGACACGUGCAUGGACAGCAUAGCCCAUCUUAUGAGCCUAUUCAUGGGUACAGUGUGCAGAAGAUAAUUGUCGUAUUUUUCUAAUUUGAAAUAUGCAAAGCCUUCCCACCAAAAAGAGAUGCAAAAGUUUUUUUUUUUUUUUGGACAAUUAAGAUAGAUAUUAUUACUAGGUAAUAGUCUGAGCAAAUACAGCAUAUGCUUCAGUACAAAGUAAAUCCAAAAGCGCAGGAGGGGGAUGUUUGACCCAAUUUGUAGGAAGGAAAUUCAUGCGCUGGGCUUUUGCUAACCAAUCAGCCACUACAUUCGUUUUCUGACUACAAUGGGCGAAAGUCAGACCCGAGAUAUUCUUCAGUUUGUGCUUGGCUCGGUUCACAAGAGGUUGCACUGACCAGUCUAAAACGGGUGUGGAGAGAAUACUCUCCACCAGCAUACUGCAAUCAGAUAGAAUUUCUAUUUCUUUUUCUGGGGAAUUUGGGAGGAUUUCUGAGGAGAUAAAGUCUAGGGUUUCUACCAAAGCUACGGCCUCCGCUUGUUCAGGUGAACUUACCUCGACAUUCUUUGCGAACCCAGCCCUUAUUCGGCCAAAGGAAUCUCUGCAGAUACAAGCCACAGAUGCCCGAGUUUUGGAUCUACUCUGCUGAGAGCUGGAGAGAGAUACAGUCUUUGCUCUGGUGGGGUCACAGCUUGUUGCCGAAAUAGAAUUCCUUUCACCUGUUUUGUCGGUGAGAUCAGGGCCAGGUGAAAAUGCUGAUCCUUCCUCUGUUUCGUUACAACACCGGUAAGUUGUUUCCCCAUAAGUCUUGUGUGCUCUGCAAAUCCUAUCAUGGUGGGCUUCGAUGGUCUUUCUUUGUUGCUGCAGCUGUUCUGAAAAUUCAAAACCAAUAGAUCUACGCUCAAUUUCGAAGCGAAUAGGUCUGCGCUCCAGUUCCACUUCAGCAAAAUCAGAAGGGUCUUCCUCAAUUGUAUCGCUGUUUAGUGGGGGUUUUCGAUGUUCUUGGAUGACGCCUGUGCUGUACAACUUAGGCGUUCGAGAGUUGGUGCAGAUCUGGAACAGGUGGGGCAUCUCCAUUUGGUCAGACCCAUCUUCGUGAACUCUGCUGAAAAAGUGAGGUUUGCUCCUGCUCUGAUUUGCUGCUCUUUUAAUCUUUGAUGGACGAGGCGUCAGGUUAAUCCUCCUCCUCCUUGGCUGUGUUCUGGAAUCAGCAAUGUCAGAUGUGUCUUGCGGAUUGAGUUCUAUAGGUGGCAGAGGGCUAGCUUCAUUGAGGCCACGAUCCAUGGGUUGAUUCCCAUAGAUUUGUGCCCGAUCUCUACCGUGCAUCUUAGAUGUGCCUAUGUGGGCAUACCUUGGACUCGGGCUGGGUUUUCCUCGUCUCUCCGUUCUGUUUUGCCCAGGUAAGUGUUGGGACCUGGCUAUAUUUCUGACUACUUCUCUGGGCGGCUUAGGUUUAUAUAUGUUGUCCUUCCUGACCGUGCUGUUAGCCUUUAGAUGAUGCGUUAAAUCGGACUCUUCCUCUUCGACAUCUGUAUUUGAAGCUGGAGAGUGACUUAGGGAGGCAUAUUGGUUGACUAAACUUAUAUCGCAGUUGGAGGGUAAAGGUUGGGAAGGAACUGAAGUGCUUUCAUUUGGAUACACCACCUCCUCUGGAUAUUUAUCAGACAAGUUGCUGGCAUUAUAGGUACUGGCAAAAGAAGCAUCAAUAUUGAUUUUCAAUACACCUGGGGGUGGAGGUUGCCAGUGAUCAGGUUGUUCUUGGCCCUGUUUGCAUUUGUGGGAUUUUUUAUUCCAUGUUGAGAAGCUUUCCUGUGACAUUGUAGCUCGUAAGAGGGUGUGGUGUGGGUUGAGGGGUUGCUUUUUGAAGAUGGAGUGGUUGCGGUCUUUCCAAAUGCACCAAAGAACUAUGGCAACCAGUUCAAAAUUUUGUGAGUUUCUUUGUCCUGCAAAAUAUUUGCCCAACCAAACAUCAAACCUUGUUAGACCCAUUCGAUUUGUGUAAUCUUGUAAGGUUAGCUCUUUCCAAAUAGAUGCUGUCCAAGGGCAAAGCAGUAAGGUGUGCUCGAUUGUCUCCAGUUCCAUCUUGCAUAUCGGACACAUUGGAGCAAGUACAAUCUUUCUUCUAUAAAGAUUAUCUAAAGUAGGAAGUGCAUUUUGGCAGGCACUCCAUAGGAAAAAUUUUAUCUUCGGCUGUAUGUUGGAGUUCCAAAUAAGUUUCCAUAUGGCUGGAUCAAACUGGUGUGAUGUUGUUGGCACGGACUCUCGAUGCGUAACAUGUUUUCUAAUUGCAAAGUAACCGCUUUUUACUGUAUAGGUUCCCGACUUGUUCUUUGUCCAAACCAAUUUAUCUUCUGUGGUAGGGAGGCCAAUAGGUAUUGCUUUGAUUUUUGUCGCUAGGGAGUCAUCGAACAGGGACUGCAAUAGGUCUUCCUUCCAUUGUACAGCUUCAAAAGUACAGGGAUGAACUCAGUAUCUAAGAGGGACAAGCCUUGAUGUGCCUAAAUACCAACUACAAAUUUUCGUUGCAGAUCUUGGGCGAUAACUAGAUACUCCAAUUUUUAGUAAGAACAAUUUUGUCAGUACGUAUUCAUCUAAGCAUUUAGAAAAAAAAGAGUUUUUCAAUUACAGGAAUCAUCACAGUCCAUUUCCGGAUUACUAAGAUAGGUUUGUCAGAUGUUGAUUCGGUUUAAUAAUUCAAACAGAAGCAUAUCGAAAGAAUUUCAGAAAAGUGGCCAAGAUAAAAUUCAGCCCCCUCAGUAGUAAAUCAAAGAAAACCCGACCAACUUCAAACGUUCAAAACUGAGUCAUACCGCCACACCAAUGCUUAUAAAAAAUCACAAUUCUGCCCAUUGGGGGCUUCUAUCUAGACAUAUAAUUCAGUAUACCAACAAGCUGUCCCAAUCGUCACUGUUUCAAUAUAAUCAACUUUCCCCUUACAAAGACAGUUUCCUGCAAAUUGCUUAGGAUACAGCUAACGACUAAUGGGGCUAAGCUAUUAAUACCCAAAUCAAUAGAUCAUUCAUCGUCCUCGUGGAAUAAUCUAUUGUAUCCAUAGCCACUUACUUCAGGUUAUCUUGCAAGAAUUCUUGAGAGAUCGACUAAACCAAGAUGUCAAAUAAUAUGAAUUCAAAGUCCAUAAAAUUCAAGCAACCUCACUCCCCAGCUAAAGUUAAAAGACACCUAAAAUUCCAGACAGAAAGCCCACCACAAUUCCUCCAACAUAGACAAAUAUAGCGACUGAUUAGCGGGGUUCUCACCUUUUUAAUUUGCCUCCUGCGAAAACCCCUUCAAUUCGGAGAUAAAGAUACCCGCUACCAAUAUUGAUCAAGAGGAGAAAUUAAAUCUGGCCACUUCAGCAAUAGUAAUUCUUAUUAUAGGAUCAGCACCCGCUUGGACCACCCAUCCGCAAAAACUGAGUCAAGGCUUCGACCUUCAAAGCUGUUCCACCAAGAACAAUUGAGCUUAUCACGGAAAUUGUUGACGCUACUGAAUCUGCAGCCAUACACGAGAGUAGCUACUCUAAACUCAACAGCAGAUGACCAGAACCUACGCAACCAGAGCAAGCUAAUGUGGUCAAAUCGGGCCGUGACAUAAACAUCGAGGUCGCUUGCCUUGGGGGACCCCAACCCAGGUCCGGGGGGGCCUAGGGGAGCAAGUUGCCCUGGCCUUGUUUGCAUUGGGGCCAGCGGUGGGCGAGAGAGAGAGAGAGGGAUGCUUGAAAAAUAGUUUACUAGAAGAAAAUAAGAAGGGCGAUGUAAUUUUCUUGUCCGUAAAAUAAGCAAAUCAAAGUCUUGGCUCAAUUUAUCACAUUAUCUUGGUAAGGUUUGGGCUUUCUAGUGGAAAUGGUUCGAAUUCAUUUCCUUAAAUCGAAAUAAAUGGAUGGAGAAAUGAUGAAGACUCAUGUUAACGUUAAGGAAAAAAAUGCGAUCCUAUCCCCAAGUUGUUUGAGAGUUUUUGCCAUCGUAAUGAUGAGAUAAACGUAAUGACCAUUCCUCCCAAAAUGAAUACAAAAAGGACGGGUAGAUAUUCACCACCCUAUAUAUAUAUAUAUAUAUAUAAACGCACACAAACGAAGUACAAAUUAGAAGCUAUGAAAAGAUAGGUAGAGACACUCCGCUAGAGAAAGACAAACGAAACUUCUUCUUUUUAAAAUAAUAUUUUACACUUAUCAGCCUCUCUUUCAUUUCACCUGAGUGCGUCUCCAAAUGACAUUUCUUCUCCGGGACACUCAUAAAUGCGGCCGCUGGGAAGUGAGUCAGGCGGCUGGGUCCCACUCAAAACUCAGCCCUCCAAUGUCCGUCCCCCAUUGAUCGAGAAGGAAAGACCUCACUUCACUCACUCGGCCCACUGGGUCGG
rnacentral:lncRNA from 1 species